GGAGUCUUUCAUUCUGUCAUGGCACUGUACUGUGUAGCCUGCUAGCUCGAUGGCAGAGUCCGCUACGUCUGGAUGCAGCCAGGUCUCCGUGAUCAGAAGAAUACAGCUGUCCUUCACUGCGCUGUGAGAUGCAGCCUGUAGUCUCAGUUCAUCCAUCUUGUUUGCAAGGGAUCUGGCGUUGGAGAGAAACAGGCUGGGGAGCGGUGGUUUGUGUGGUUGCCUCCGUAGCCUAGCUAGCAGGCUGGCUCUGCAGCCCCGCUUCUGCCUUCUCUCUCUACGCCGCCGUCGCUUCCUCCCUGCUGCGAUGGUAAUCCACGGCGCCCCGGGGCUCCUCGCCAUGUCCCCCGGAAUAUUGAACAAGCGUUGAAAAUCAGCUGUAACAUCUCGUUCGUAGCGGGAACCGAUCGUCAGGAGAUCGUCCCGACUGUAUAUUUUGUUUCACCGACCGAGAGAGCAAUGAGCCGCUGCAACUGCGUGCGCCGCCAUCUUGGG